rnacentral:rRNA from 1 species
CCUACGGGUGGCAGCAGUGAGGAAUAUUGGUCAAUGGACGCAAGUCUGAACCAGCCAUGCCGCGUGCAGGAAGACGGCUCUAUGAGUUGUAAACUGCUUUUGUACGAGGGUAAACGCAGAUACGCGUAUCUGUCUGUAUGUAUCUUACGAAUAAGGAUCGGCUAACUCCGUGCCAGCAGCCGCGGUAAUACGGAGGAUUCAAGCGUUAUCCGGAUUUAUUGGGUUUAAAGGGUGUGUAGGCGGUCGGAUAAGUUAGAGGUGAAAUCCCGAGGCUCAACUUCGGAAUUGCCGCUGAUACUGGUCGGCUAGAGAGUAGUUGAGGUAGGCGGAAUGUAUGGUGUAGCGGUGAAAUGCUUAGAGAUCAUGCAGAACACCGAUUGCGAAGGCAGCUUGCCAAGCUAUUACUGACGUUGAGGCACGAAAGCGUGGGGAGCAAACAGGAUUAGAUACCCCAGUAGUC